rnacentral:rRNA from 1 species
GACGAACGCUGGCGGCGUGCCUAAUACAUGCAAGUCGAGCGAAGGGGCGGAUGGGUGAGUAACGCGCGGGUAACCUGCCCUUAAGUCUGGGAUACCAUUUGGAAACAGAUGCUAUUACUGAUAACAAAGGAAGGACCUGCGAUGGAUUAGCUAGUUGGUAAGGUAACGGCUUACCAAGGCGAUGAUGCAUAUCCUGUUGGGAAGAGUGAUCGGCCACCUGGGAACUGGAACACGGCCCAAACUCCUACGGGGGGCAGAAGUAGGGAAUCUUCCACAAUGGACGAAAGUCUGAUGGGGCAACGCCGCGGGAGUGAAGAAGGUUUUCGGAUCGUAAAGCUCUGUUGUUGGUGAAGCGGUAAUCAACCAGAAAGUCACGGCUAACUACGUGCCAGCAGCCGCGGUAAUUC